AGACAUACUGCAAACAGGUCAAAAGAUGAAACGCUGCUUAUAACCCAGCCAAUACAGAAAGGGAAGGUGAUGCUACCUUUGAAGUUAGAGCCAUGUGGGAUGACUUUUCUCAAGACUGGUAUUGAUGAGACACUAAUGCAGUGACUGUAUUUUAAUCUUCCUGUGUGGAUGUGGCUAUUUUGGAGUCACAAUGUGAUGUGAAGGGCUUGAAGACAUCAAAGCAAAUUGCAUCUUCAAAAGCUGGACUGAUGAGAGCAUCCUGCCCUGGUCCCUGGUUCCAGCCAGAGCCAAGAAGUGAGAUGCAUGUGAAAAUGAAAGGGGUAUAUGGAGCAAUAAUAAAGUCCCUCUUGCCAAAUCUGAAAAAUGUCAUCUUGGAUUUCAUG